GGCUGAAACUCGCCUACAUGAAGCUGGAGUUACUGUAAUCGCAGAUCAGAAUGCUGCGGUGAAUGCGUUCCCGGGUCUUGUACACACCGCCCGUCACACCACGGAAGUUGGGGGGCGCCCGAAGCCACUUAGCUAACCCUUUUGGGAAGCGAGUGUCGAAGGUGAAAUCAAUAACUGGGGUGAAGUCGUAACAAGGUAGC
rnacentral:rRNA from 1 species